GACGUAGGGCGCGAGCGUUGUCCGGAUUUAUUGGGCGUAAAGAGCUCGUAGGCGGCUUGUCGCGUCGAAUGUGAAAUCUCAGGGCUCAACUCUGACAUUGCAUUCGAUACGGGCAGGCUAGAGUUCGGUAGGGGAGACUGGAAUUCCUGAUGUAGCGGUGAAAUGCGCAGAUAUCAGGAGGAACACCGGCGGCGAAGGCGGGUCUCUGGGCCGAUACCGACGCUGAGGAGCGAAAGCGUGGGGAGCGAACAGG
rnacentral:rRNA from 1 species